rnacentral:rRNA from 1 species
CCUUUUCGGCCGUCACUUACAGAUGGAGUCGUGGCGCAUUAGCUAGUUGCUGGCGUAAUGGCUCCACAAGGCGCCGAUGCGUAGCCGACCUGAGAGGGUGAUCGGCCACACUGGGAUUGAGACACGGGCCAGACUCCUACGGGAGGCAGCAGUAGGGAAUCUUUCGCAAUGGACGAAAGUCUGACGGAGCAACGCCGCGUGAGUGAUGAAGGUUUUCGGAUCGUAAAGCUGUGUUGUUAGGGAAGAACAAGUGCGAGAGUAACUGCUCGCACCUUGACGGUACCUAACCAGAAAGCCACGGCUAACUACGUGCCAGCAGCCGCGGUAAUACGUAGGUGGCAAGCGUUGUCCGGAAUUAUUGGGCGUAAAGGGCUCGCAGGCGGUUUCUUAAGUCUGAUGUGAAAGCCCCCGGCUCAACCGGGGAGGGUCAUUGGAAACUGGGAAACUUGAGUGCAGAAGAGGAGAGUGGAAUUCCACGUGUAGCGGUGAAAUGCGUAGAGAUGUGGAGGAACACCAGUGGCGAAGGCGACUCUCUGGUCUGUAACUGACGCUGAGGAGCGAAAGCGUGGGGAGCGAACAGGAUUAGAUACCCUGGUAGUCCACGCCGUAAACGAUGAGUGCUAAGUGUUAGGGGGUUUCCGCCCCUUAGUGCUGCAGCUAACGCAUUAAGCAUUCCGCCUGGGAGUCGUCCCGGCCAUUUAACCAACAAAGCC